rnacentral:rRNA from 1 species
GUGGGGAAUAUUGGACAAUGGGCGCAAGCCUGAUCCAGCCAUGCCGCGUGAGUGAUGAAGGCCCUAGGGUUGUAAAGCUCUUUCACCGGUGAAGAUAAUGACGGUAACCGGAGAAGAAGCCCCGGCUAACUUCGUGCCAGCAGCCGCGGUAAUACGAAGGGGGCUAGCGUUGUUCGGAAUUACUGGGCGUAAAGCGCACGUAGGCGGACAUUUAAGUCAGGGGUGAAAUCCCGGGGCUCAACCCCGGAACUGUCUUUGAUACUGGGUGUCUGGAGUAUGGAAGAGGUAAGUGGAAUUCCGAGUGUAGAGGUGAAAUUCGUAGAUAUUCGGAGGAACACCAGUGGCGAAGGCGGCUUACUGGUCCAUUACUGACGCUGAGGUGCGAAAGCGUGGGGAGCAAACAGGAUUAGAUACCCUUGUAGUCC